rnacentral:rRNA from 1 species
GAUGAACGCUGGCGGCGUGCCUAAUACAUGCAAGUCGAGCGAACAGACGAGGAGCUUGCUCCUCUGACGUUAGCGGCGGACGGGUGAGUAACACGUGGAUAACCUACCUAUAAGACUGGGAUAACUUCGGGAAACCGGAGCUAAUACCGGAUAAUAUAUUGAACCGCAUGGUUCAAUAGUGAAAGACGGUUUUGCUGUCACUUAUAGAUGGAUCCGCGCCGCAUUAGCUAGUUGGUAAGGUAACGGCUUACCAAGGCAACGAUGCGUAGCCGACCUGAGAGGGUGAUCGGCCACACUGGAACUGAGACACGGUCCAGACUCCUACGGGAGGCAGCAGUAGGGAAUCUUCCGCAAUGGGCGAAAGCUUGACGGAGCAACGCCGCGUGAGUGAUGAAGGUCUCCGGAUCGUAAAACUCUGUUAUUAGGGAAGAACAAAUGUGUAAGUAACUAUGCACGUCUUGACGGUACCUAAGCAGAAAGCCACGGCUAACUACGU